rnacentral:rRNA from 1 species
CCUACGGGCGGCAGCAGUGAGGAAUAUUGGUCAAUGGACGAGAGUCUGAACCAGCCAAGUAGCGUGAAGGAUGACUGCCCUAUGGGUUGUAAACUUCUUUUAUAUGGGAAUAAAAUGUUCCACGUGUGGGAUUUUGUAUGUACCAUAUGAAUAAGGAUCGGCUAACUCCGUGCCAGCAGCCGCGGUAAUACGGAGGAUCCGAGCGUUAUCCGGAUUUAUUGGGUUUAAAGGGAGCGUAGGUGGAUUGUUAAGUCAGUUGUGAAAGUUUGCGGCUCAACCGUAAAAUUGCAGUUGAAACUGGCAGUCUUGAGUACAGUAGAGGUGGGCGGAAUUCGUGGUGUAGCGGUGAAAUGGUUAGAUAUCACGAAGAACUCCGAUUGCGAAGGCAGUUCACUGGACUGCAACUGACACUGAGGCUCGAAAGUGUGGGUAUCAAACAGGAUUAGAUACCCCUGUAGUC